rnacentral:lncRNA from 1 species
UGACAUUAAUAACAAUAGCCAAUGUUUACUAUCUCCUGUUUAUCAGACCUGAUAUAUGACUUUGGCAACCAUUUUAACAUCAGAGGACCCUGGCUCAUCAAAACGGACGAGGAAAGAACGCAUGAAAAGGGGAUGCAUGAUGCAUGCGCUGGAGCUAGGCCUCCAUCAGUAGGCUGUUUCUGGUUGCCUGGCACGCACACAGUCCUGGGCUCCAUCCUGAACAUCAUAAACCAUGCACGGUGGUACUCAUCUGUAGGUACAGGCAGGUAGAUCAUGGCCAUCCUUAGCUACAUAGGGAGGUUGAAGCCAGCCUUGUCUGUAUGAGAAUCUAUCUUAAUAAAAUAAAAGGCCUGG